GUGGAUUAGAUACCCUGGUAGUCCUGGCAGUAAACGGUGCACGCUUGGUGUGAGGGGAAUCGACCCCCCUUGUGCCGGAGCUAACGCGUUAAGCGUGCCGCCUGGGAAGUACGGUCGCAAGACUAAAACUCAAAGAAAUUGACGGGGACCCGCACAAGCGGUGGAGUAUGUGGCUUAAUUCGAUGCAACGCGAAGAACCUUACCAAGGCUUGACAUGGAUUUCUAAGCGCGUGAAAGCGCGUGACCCUUCGGGGGACUUCCACAGGUGCUGCACGGCCGUCGUCAACU
rnacentral:rRNA from 1 species